rnacentral:rRNA from 1 species
UGCAGAGGUCUCAAGCGUUGUUCGGAUUCAUUGGGCGUAAAGGGUGUGUAGGUGGCGCGCUAAGUCGGGUGUGAAAUUUCGGAGCUUAACUCCGAAACUGCAUUCGAUACUGGCGUGCUUGAGGACUGGAGAGGAGACUGGAAUUUACGGUGUAGCAGUGAAAUGCGUAGAUAUCGUAAGGAAGACCAGUGGCGAAGGCGGGUCUCUGGACAGUUCCUGACGCUGAGGCACGAAGGUCAGGGGAGCAAACGGG